rnacentral:rRNA from 1 species
CCAGUAGUCAUAUGCUUGUCUCAAAGAUUAAGCCAUGCAUGUCUAAGUAUAAGCACUUUAUACUGUGAAACUGCGAAUGGCUCAUUAAAUCAGUUAUCGUUUAUUUGAUAGUACCUUACUACAUGGAUACCUGUGGUAAUUCUAGAGCUAAUACAUGCUGAAAACCUCGACUUCGGAAGGGGUGUAUUUAUUAGAUAAAAAACCAAUGCCCUUCGGGGCUCCUUGGUGAAUCAUAAUAACUUAACGAAUCGCAUGGCCUUGCGCCGGCGAUGGUUCAUUCAAAUUUCUGCCCUAUCAACUUUCGAUGGUAGGAUAGUGGCCUACCAUGGUGGCAACGGGUAACGGGGAAUUAGGGUUCGAUUCCGGAGAGGGAGCCUGAGAAACGGCUACCACAUCCAAGGAAGGCAGCAGGCGCGCAAAUUACCCAAUCCCGACACGGGGAGGUAGUGACAAUAAAUACUGAUACGGGGCUCUUUUGGGUCUCGUAAUUGGAAUGAGUACAAUCUAAAUCCCUUAACGAGGAACAAUUGGAGGGCAAGUCUGGUGCCAGCAGCCGCGGUAAUUCCAGCUCCAAUAGCGUAUAUUAAAGUUGUUGCAGUUAAAAAGCUCGUAGUUGAACCUUGGGUCUGGCUGGCCGGUCCGCCUCACCGCGAGUACUGGUCCGGCUGGACCUUUCCUUCUGGGGAAUCUCAUGGCCUUCACUGGCUGUGGGGGGAACCAGGACUUUUACUGUGAAAAAAUUAGAGUGUUCAAAGCAGGCCUUUGCUCGAAUACAUUGGCAUGGAAUAAUAGAAUAGGACGUGCGGUUCUAUUUUGUUGGUUUCUAGGACCGCCGUAAUGAUUAAUAGGGAUAGUCGGGGGCGUCAGUAUUCAGCUGUCAGAGGUGAAUUCUUGGAUUUGCUGAAGACUAACUACUGCGAAAGCAUUCGCCAAGGAUGUUUUCAUUAAUCAGGACGAAAGUUAGGGGAUCGAAGACGAUCAGAUACCGUCGUAGUCUACCAUAACUAUGCGACUAGGAAUCGGACGGUGUUCUAUUAUGACCGUUCGGCACCUUACGAGAAAUCA